CAGGAGCAUCUGCUGAAGAGACAGCCUUCUUUGGAAUAUCCCAGUGCUGUCAGACAGAGGCAUAAAACUCAGUGCUGCUUCUCAUCACUUUACAAGUCCUUCCUGCACCAGAAUCAACCACAUUCUGCUCAAUCUGAGGAUAUACUGUGAAGGAACUGAGAAGUGAAGGAAGAAGACCUGCUUUUUACAUUGUUUACUGAAGGUGCAGGGACAUUCAUGGAACAACCACUAUCCUGAAGGAUGCUCUGGACCAAAAUGUUCAUUUUAUAUACAGAAGAUGCACAAAAAUAGAAUAGGAGAGUAUGUAAGAGAAAAGAUAUUUACUGUACAGUAACUGCAAUUCCUUGAGAAAAUUCCCCAAGAGGUAAGGCUGCCAUUUUUACUGUGUGAGCCUUCUCCAUCUGGUUUGAGUAGCUCUACAGGAACCUGUGUCAUGAUUCUUUACUAUGAAGAGUGCAACAAAGAAGGGUGAGAACAGUGUCUAAAACAAAGACCAGAUU